rnacentral:rRNA from 1 species
CUCGAGUGGCGAACGGGUGAGUAACACGUGGGUGAUCUGCCCUGCACUUCGGGAUAAGCCUGGGAAACUGGGUCUAAUACCGGAUAGGAGCCAUUUUUAGUGUGAUGGUUGGAAAGUUUUUCGGUGUAGGAUGAGCUCGCGGCCUAUCAGCUUGUUGGUGGGGUAAUGGCCUACCAAGGCGGCGACGGGUAGCCGGCCUGAGAGGGUGGACGGCCACAUUGGGACUGAGAUACGGCCCAG